AUUUUUGUCCCCAAUUUAUGGAAUAAAUCUUCAUGUUAACCUUUAGGAUCCAUUAUAAAUUUCUGUAUUUCAUGCAUGAACUCCUCAAACCUCUGCUUGCCUUGUACCCUUCCUCUUUGCAGAUUACUUUAUACUGGUGAGGACCGGGUAAUCUGCAUCCUGAGGUUUAUAUCAACAUGUUUGUUUGUUGAAUCUAGUCCUUGGGGUGCAGAUUACCUCUUCCUCACUGCAAUACAAAACUUGUUGCACUUGAAACAAGAAUUCAAGCACUGUCUCACUCAAGCCAAUUGCCAUCUAGAAGCUCUAUCAUCUCUACAUGGAAGAAAAUGAAACUUCCACGUAAAUGUCAAAGGGAUAAUGCCAAAUUUAGUCCUCAAUGUUUACAUCUUUUAUCAAUUUGGUCUUCUUUCCCUUUUUAGAUAAACUUAGCUAUUACCUUUUCAAAAAAAGUUAAAUCUUUUUUUAAACAUAUAUGAGAAUUAAAAUAUUAAUUUUUCAA